AGGUAGAAUGGCCGAGUGUUAGGCGGCAGGCUGUAACCCUGCUCACACGGGUUUAAGCCCUGUUUCUCCC
rnacentral:tRNA from 1 species